rnacentral:lncRNA from 1 species
GGAAUCGUCUACAAAGCUGGAGCAGUGGCGGUGAAGAAGCUAUGGAGAACAGAACCUGACAUUGAAAAUGGCGGAGAUGACCUAUUUGGAGAGGUCAGCCUUCUCGGGAGUCUCCGACAUAGGAACAUUGUGAAGGUGUUAGGGUAUCUGCACAACCAAAAAGACGUGAUGAUGAUUUAUGAGUACAUGCCAAAUGGAAACUUAGGAGAUGCCUUGCAUAGCAAGGAAGAAUCCGAGAGGUUGCUUGUGGAUUGGGUUUCGAGGUAUAACAUAGCAGUCGGAGUCGCUCAGGGACUGCAUUACCUCCACCAUGAUUGCCAUCCUCAAAUUAUCCAUCGCGACAUCAAGUCCAACAACAUCCUGCUUGAUGCUAAUCUCGAUGCAAGGAUUGCCGAUUUUGGGCUGGCGAGAACGAUGGCUCAUAAGAGCGAGACCGUCUCGAUGGUGGCUGGAUCUUACGGCUACAUUGCACCUGGUAAGCAGCAAAGCAAGAUCACUUAAAACUGUUAAUUUCAGAAAUGAAACUUAUUGAUGUUGAUUUUUUUUAAUCCAGAAUAUGGAUACACAUUGAAGGUUGAUGAGAAGAGCGACAUAUACAGCUUCGGAGUCAUGCUUUUGGAGCUCCUGACUGGGAAAAUGCCUAUUGAGCCUGCAUUUGGAGAAUCUGUUGAUAUUGUGGAAUGGAUCAGAACCAAGAUGAGAAACAAUAAACCAUUGGAAGAAG